rnacentral:rRNA from 1 species
CCUACGGGGGGCAGCAGUGGGGGAUAUUGCACAAUGGGGGGAACCCUGAUGCAGCGACGCCGCGUGGGUGAAGGAGUAUUUCGGUAUGUAAAGCCCUAUCGGCAGGGAAGAGUUUAGACGGUACCUGACUAAGAAGCCCCGGCUAACUACGGGCCAGCAGGCGCGGUAAUGCGUAGGGGGCAAGCGUUAUCCGGGUUCACUGGGGGUAAAGGGGGCUGAGACGGCCAGGCAAGCCUGGAGUGAAAACCCGGGGCCCAACCCCGGGACUGCUCUGGGAACUGUCCGGCUGGAGUGCGGGAGGGGACGUCGGAAUUCCUGGUGUAGCGGUGAAAUGCGUAGAUAUCAGGAGGAACACCGGGGGCGAAGGCGGCUUGCUGGACCGCGACUGACGUUGAGGCUCGAAAGCGUGGGGAGCGAACAGGAUUAGAUACCCCUGUAGUC